rnacentral:piRNA from 1 species
UGCGAAUUGGGAGAGCAAGGGUUCGAGGU